rnacentral:rRNA from 1 species
AGAGUUUGAUCAUGGCUCAGAUUGAACGCUGGCGGCAGGCCUAACACAUGCAAGUCGAGCGGCAGCACAGAGGAACUUGUUCCUUGGGUGGCGAGCGGCGGACGGGUGAGUAAUGCCUGGGAAAUUGCCCGGUAGAGGGGGAUAACCAUUGGAAACGAUGGCUAAUACCGCAUAACCUCGUAAGAGCAAAGCAGGGGACCUUAGGGCCUUGUGCUACCGGAUAUGCCCAGGUGGGAUUAGCUAGUUGGUGAGG